rnacentral:rRNA from 1 species
GAUGAACGCUGGCGGCGUGCCUAAUACAUGCAAGUCGAGCGAACAGACGAGGAGCUUGCUCCUCUGACGUUAGCGGCGGACGGGUGAGUAACACGUGGAUAACCUACCUAUAAGACUGGGAUAACUUCGGGAAACCGGAGCUAAUACCGGAUAAUAUAUUGAACCGCAUGGUUCAAUAGUGAAAGACGGUUUUGCUGUCACUUAUAGAUGGAUCCGCGCCGCAUUAGCUAGUUGGUAAGGUAACGGCUUACCAAAGCAACGAUGCGUAGCCGACCUGAGAGGGUGAUCGGCCACACUGGAACUGAGACACGGUCCAGACUCCUACGGGAGGCAGCAGUAGGGAAUCUUCCGCAAUGGGCGAAAGCCUGACGGAGCAACGCCGCGUGAGUGAUGAAGGUCUGCGGAUCGUAAAACUCUGUUGUUAGGGAAGAACAAAUGUGUAAGUAACUAUGCACGUCUUGACGGUACCUAAUCAGAAAGCCACGGCUAACUACGU